GUCAAGUCUUCCCCAUCCAACUGCCAGGUUAAGAAGAUCUCAGCAGGGUAGAAGGCCAGGGCCCAGCAUCUCAGGGUAACAUCUCCUUUCUGUAUGCAGUGAUGGGUCACAUGUGUCUUUGGUGGGUCUGAGUGCAGCAGGGUGGCUUUCCCUAACUCCAAGUAUUUCUUCAGCCACUCUAUGCAAAGGCCCAGCAGGUACGCCCUCUGGUGGUGGGCCUCGCCCACGUCCUCUAAAUUGCGCUUAGAGAUCUGUGAGGCCAAGUCCUUUGUGGUCCAGGAGCGCAGGUCGUCAUUCAGGGCGAUGUAAUCCCGGCCAUCAUAGGCCUCCUGACAGUACCCGCGGAGCAGGCGGCCAUCCGGCCCCAGGUCGCAGCCGUACAUCCACUGCAGAGUGUGAGGGUCUGUGGGGGACACGGUGGUCAGCGCCACCUAACGGCCACCCCCAAACCCCCACCCUGGCUCUUAGUCCAUAAUUGACCUUUUCAAAACAACAACAACAACAACAACAACAACAACAACAACAACAACAACAAAACUUUACAAUGGAAACCGAAACCAAACUCUUCGGGUGUUUCCUGUUUGAGGAUCUUGGCAGGUGUUUGAAUGAAACUUCCACCCAGCAGGCCUGGAUGACCCAGGCGCGUCCCAGGGCCACCCCCCCCCCCCUCCGAUCACAGAAAGGUGGAGUCUGUGAUUGGUCAGUGGUCACUCACCAUUUUCACUCUGGUUGUAGUAGUGGAGCAGGGUCUGAAGGUUUAAUUUGAAGUUCUUCCCUGUGUUCCUGGCUUUUCGUGUCUCCUCCUCCCAAUACUCCGGCCCCUCCUGCUCCACCCAUGGCGCCCGCGGUUCUACCCUCAGAGUCUCCGAGUCGCUGUCGAAGUGCACGAACUGCGUGUCGUCCACGUAGCCGACGAUGAUGUACCGGGGCUCCCCGAGGCCGGGCCGGGACACGGCGGUGUGGAAAUACCGCAGCGAGUGCGAGCCUGGGGGCGGCGCGCGGUGAGACCCCGGAACCUAGUCCCGGCCCAGGGUUCCCGGUGAAGGCAGGGGAGACACCCGCCAGGGCAGCUAAGGUGAGCUGACGAGGUACCGCCCCCACCCGGCGCCCUGCUCCUUCCCGCAGAGUCCCUUUCGCUCCCCACCCCUCACUCACUAGCCUGGGUCUGGAUCAGAACUGUGGUCAGCAGCGUGAGCCAAGAAGCAGAAGACAUGGUCCUCACUCGUGGGGCCUGUGGACCUUGUUCCUGUUGACUGUGGAACUUUCAGCCUCCUUGUCGCUGAUUGGCUUCUGUAGAAACAAGGUGUCCAAUAGGAAUGAGAAUCGUGAGUGCAUCAUUGGUGUCCACAGAGAAGAACCUGAUCAGGGUUGAGAGACAAAUUGAAACUGUGCAUAUGGA